rnacentral:rRNA from 1 species
ACGAAGGGGGCUAGCGUUGUUCGGAAUCACUGGGCGUAAAGCGCACGUAGGCGGAUUGUUAAGUCGGGGGUGAAAUCCUGAGGCUCAGCCUCAUAACUGCCUUCGAUACUGGCAAUCUCGAGUCCGGAAGAGGUUGGUGGAACAGCUAGUGUAGAGGUGAAAUUCGUAGAUAUUAACUAGAACACCAGUGGCGAAGGCGGCCAACUGGUCCGGUACCGACGCUGAGGUGCGAAAGCGUGGGGAGCAAACAGGA